UACAGAGGUCUCAAGCGUUUGUUCGGAUUCAUUGGGCGUAAAGGGUGCGUAGGCGGCGCGGUAAGUCGGGUGUGAAAUCUCGGAGCUUAACUCCGAAACUGCAUUCGAUACUGCCGUGCUUGAGGACUGGAGAGGAGACUGGAAUUUACGGUGUAGCGGUGAAAUGCGUAGAUAUCGUAAGGAAGACCAGUGGCGAAGGCGGGUCUCUGGACAGUUCCUGACGGCUGGAGG
rnacentral:rRNA from 1 species